rnacentral:rRNA from 1 species
UACGUAGGGUGCGAGCGCUAAUCGGAAUUACUGGGCGUAAAGCGUGCGCAGGCGGUUUGUUAAGACAGAUGUGAAAUCCCCGGGCUUAACCUGGGAACUGCAUUUGUGACUGGCAAGCUAGAGUAUGGCAGAGGGGGGUAGAAUUCCACGUGUAGCAGUGAAAUGCGUAGAGAUGUGGAGGAAUACCGAUGGCGAAGGCAGCCCCCUGGGCCAAUACUGACGCUCAUGCACGAAAGCGUGGGGAGCAAACAGG